UAUACCGUGAAACUGCGAAUGGCUCAUUAAAUCAGUUAUCGUUUAUUUGAUAGUACCUUACUACUUGGAUAACCGUGGUAAUUCUAGAGCUAAUACAUGCUGAAAACCUCAACUUCGGAAGAGGUGUAUUUAUUAGAUAAAAAACCAACGCCCUUCGGGGCUUCUUGGUGAUUCAUGAUAACUUUACGGAUCGCAUGGCCUUGCGCCGGCGACGGUUCAUUCAAAUUUCUGCCCUAUCAACUUUCGAUGGUAAGGUAUUGGCUUACCAUGGUUUCAACGGGUAACGGGGAAUUAGGGUUCGAUUCCGGAGAGGGAGCCUGAGAAACGGCUACCACAUCCAAGGAAGGCAGCAGGCGCGCAAAUUACCCAAUCCCGACACGGGGAGGUAGUGACAAUAAAUACUGAUACAGGGCUCUUUUGGGUCUUGUAAUUGGAAUGAGUACAAUUUAAACCUCUUAACGAGGAACAAUUGGAGGGCAAGUCUGGUGCCAGCAGCCGCGGUAAUUCCAGCUCCAAUAGCGUAUAUUAAAGUUGUUGCAGUUAAAAAGCUCGUAGUUGAAACUUGGGUCUGGCUGGCAGGUCCGCCUCACCGCGUGUACUUGUCCGGCCGGGCCUUCCUUCUGGAGAACCUCAUGCCCUUCACUGGGCGUGUUGGGGACCAGGACUUUUACUUUGAAAAAAUUAGAGUGUUCAAAGCAGGCCUUUGCUCGAAUACGUUAGCAUGGAAUAAUAGAAUAGGACGUGCGGUCCUAUUUUGUUGGUUUCUAGGACCGCCGUAAUGAUUAAUAGGGACAGUCGGGGGCAUCAGUAUUCAAUUGUCAGAGGUGAAAUUCUUGGAUUUAUUGAAGACUAACUACUGCGAAAGCAUUUGCCAAGGAUGUUUUCAUUAAUCAGUGAACGAAAGUUAGGGGAUCGAAGACGAUCAGAUACCGUCGUAGUCUUAACCGUAAACUAUGCCGACUAGGGAUCGGGCGAUGUUCUUUUUCUGACUCGCUCGGCACCUUACGAGAAAUCAAAGUU
rnacentral:rRNA from 2 species